rnacentral:rRNA from 1 species
UACAGAGGGGGCAAGCGUUGUUCGGAAUUACUGGGCGUAAAGGGCGCGUAGGCGGCCUUCUAAGUCGAACGUGAAAUCCCCGGGCUCAACCCGGGAACUGCGUCCGAUACUGGGAGGCUUGAAUCCGGGAGAGGGAUGUGGAAUUCCAGGUGUAGCGGUGGAAUGCGUAGAGAUCUGCAAGAAUACCCGUGGCGAAGGCGGCCAACUGGGCCGGUUCUGACGCUGAGGCGCGAAAGCGUGGGGAGCAAACAGG